AUAGUUUUCAGAUAAACGCUUGGCUUAGUAUCCAUUCUUAUCAGUUUAAUAUCUGAUACAUCUUCUAUAUGAGGACUAUAUAUUACAUUGAUUUUUAGAACAGGGAGACGGAAGAGGGGCUUGCUCCGACCACUCCACUUUUAGGGGCAGUCAUGGGCUGGAGGUUAGGGAUCUGGC
ensembl:snRNA U2 U2 spliceosomal RNA